UACGUAGGGGGCAAGCGUUGUCCGGAAUCAUUGGGCGUAAAGAGCGUGUAGGCGGUCCGUUAAGUCGGCUGUGAAAGUCCAAGGCUCAACCUUGGGAUGCCGGUCGAUACUGCCGGACUAGAGUUCGGAAGAGGCGAGUGGAAUUCCCGGUGUAGCGGUGAAAUGCGCAGAUAUCAGGAGGAACACCAAUGGCGAAGGCAGCUCGCUGGGACGGUACUGACGCUGAGGCGCGAAAGCGUGGGGAGCAAACAGG
rnacentral:rRNA from 1 species